UGGGGAAUCUUCGGCAAUGGGGGCAACCCUGACCGAGCCAUGCCGCGUGAGUGAUGAAGGCCCUAGGGUCGUAAAGCUCUUUCGCCAGGGAUGAUAAUGACAGUACCUGGUAAAGAAACCCCGGCUAACUCCGUGCCAGCAGCCGCGGUAAUACGGAGGGGGUUAGCGUUGUUCGGAAUUACUGGGCGUAAAGCGCGCGUAGGCGGAUUAGUAAGUCAGAGGUGAAAUCCCAGGGCUCAACCCUGGAACUGCCUUUGAUACUGCUAGUCUAGAGUUCGAGAGAGGUGAGUGGAAUUCCGAGUGUAGAGGUGAAAUUCGUAGAUAUUCGGAGGAACACCAGUGGCGAAGGCGGCUCACUGGCUCGAUACUGACGCUGAGGUGCGAAAGUGUGGGGAGCAAACAGGAUUAGAUACCCCCGUAGUCC
rnacentral:rRNA from 1 species